rnacentral:misc_RNA from 1 species
AAGUCGUAACAAGGUCUCCGUUGGUGAACCAGCGGAGGGAUCAUUACAGAGUGUCUCACUCACCAAACCACUGUGAACCUACCACUGUUGCUUCGGCGCGAGGCCCCCCGCGCCCCCUUCUGGGGGACGGGACGGCGGACCGCCGGGGACCCCAAACUCUUGUCUUUAUAGGAUCUUCAGACACAAACAAGCAAACAAAACUUUCAGCAACGGAUCUCUUGGCUCUGGC